CAGCCGCCGCGGGAAUACGUAGGGUGCAAGCGUUAAUCGGAAUUACUGGGCGUAAAGCGUGCGCAGGCGGUUAUAUAAGACAGAUGUGAAAUCCCCGGGCUCAACCUGGGAACUGCAUUUGUGACUGUAUAGCUAGAGUACGGCAGAGGGGGAUGGAAUUCCGCGUGUAGCAGUGAAAUGCGUAGAUAUGUGGAGGAACACCGAUGGCGAAGGCAGCCUCCUGGGCCAAUACUGACGCUCAUGCACGAAAGCGUGGGGAGCAAACAGGAUUAGAUACCCCCGUAGUCCCUGUCUCUUAUAC
rnacentral:rRNA from 1 species